rnacentral:rRNA from 1 species
AUACGGAGGAUGCGAGCGUUAUCCGGAUUUAUUGGGUUUAAAGGGAGCGUAGGUGGGAUAUUAAGUCAGCUGUGAAAGUUUGGGGCUCAACCUUAAAAUUGCAGUUGGUACUGGUUUCCUUGAGUACGGUACAGGUGGGCGGAAUUCGUGGUGUAGCGGUGAAAUGCUUAGAUAUCACGAAGAACUCCGAUCGCGAAGGCAGCUCACCGGGCCGGAACUGACACUGAUGCUCGAAAGUGCGGGUAUCAAACAGGAUUAGAUACCCUGGUAGCCCGCACAGUAAACGAUGAAUACUCGCUGUUUGCGAUACACGGUAAGCGGCCAAGCGAAAGCGUUAAGUAUUCCACCUGGGGAGUGCGCCGGCAACGGUGAAACUCAAAUGAAUUGACGGGG